AACGAACGCUGGCGGCAUGCCUAACACAUGCAAGUCGAACGAGACCUUCGGGUCUAGUGGCGCACGGGUGCGUAACGCGUGGGAACCUGCCCUUAGGUUCGGAAUAACUCCCCGAAAGGGGUGCUAAUACCGGAUAAUAUCCUCGGACCAAAGAUUUAUCGCCUUUGGAUGGGCCCGCGUUGGAUUAGCUGGUUGGUAGGGUAAAAGCCUACCAAGGCGACGAUCCAUAGCUGGUCUGAGAGGAUGAUCAGCCACACUGGGACUGGGACACGGCCCAGACUCCUACGGGAAGCAGCAGUGGGGAAUAUUGGACAAUGGGCGAAAGCCUGAUCCAGCAAUGCCGCGUGAGUGAUGAAGUCCUUAGGGUUGUAAAGCUCUUUUACCCGGGAUGAUAAUGACGGUACCGGGAGAAUAAGCUCCGGCUAACUCCGUG
rnacentral:rRNA from 1 species